AACGAACGCUGGCGGCAUGCCUAACACAUGCAAGUCGAACGAGACCUUCGGGUCUAGUGGCGCACGGGUGCGUAACGCGUGGGAACCUGCCCUCAGGUUCGGAAUAACUCCCCGAAAGGGGUGCUAAUACGGGAUAAUGUCUUCGGACCAAAGAUUUAUCGCCUUUGGUUGGGCCCGCGUUGGAUUAGCUAGUUGGUAGGGUAAAAGCCUACCAAGGCGACGAUCCAUAGCUGGUCUGAGAGGAGGAUCAGCCACACUGGGACUGAGACACGGCCCAGACUCCUACGGGAGGCAGCAGUGGGGAAUAUUGGACAAUGGGCGAAAGCCUGAUCCGGCAAUGCCGCGUGAGUGAUGAAGGCCUUAGGGUUGUAAAGCUCUUUUACCCGGGAUGAUAAUGACAGUACCGGGAGAAUAAGCUCCGGCUAACUCCGUG
rnacentral:rRNA from 1 species